rnacentral:tmRNA from 1 species
ACGGCAGCUGCUGUGCUUAAGUGUCCUACAGCUUAGGUUACAGUAUCAUCCUUUGUAGGGAACCUUCAUCAUUAAGCUUUGCGUGAUGAAGAGAUUUCAUGAAGCUACUGAGUCUGGAGGGUGUUAGUUCCCAACCGGAUAAAGGAAUAUUGAAGAACUGACUAUGAUAGUAGAAGAACAUGGGAUUCCGGUUUGGACGCGGGUUCGACUCCCGCCAGGUCCACUA